UCACCCUUCAAGCUCUGCUUGGUGUUGGGGCCUGCUGUUAGGCAGCCCUUAAAAUUAGUGGCAGUGACCAUUAGGCUCUAAGCGUAGUAAUUCUUCUCGCUAUAGCGUCUAGUGGUUCCGCGCCAAAACCCCCAAUUUUUUAU
rnacentral:misc_RNA from 1 species